rnacentral:rRNA from 1 species
AGUGAACGCUGGCGGUAGGCCUAACACAUGCAAGUCGAACGGCAGCACAGUAAGAGCUUGCUCUUACGGGUGGCGAGUGGCGGACGGGUGAGGAAUACAUCGGAAUCUACUUUUUCGUGGGGGAGAACGUAGGGAAACUUACGCUAAUACCGCAUACGACCUACGGGUGAAAGCAGGGGAUCUUCGGACCUUGCGCGAUUGAAUGAGCCGAUGUCGGAUUAGCUAGUUGGCGGGGUAAAGGCCCACCAAGGCGACGAUCCGUAGCUGGUCUGAGAGGAUGAUCAGCCACACUGGAACUGAGACACGGUCCAGACUCCUACGGGAGGCAGCAGUGGGGAAUAUUGGACAAUGGGCGCAAGCCUGAUCCAGCCAUACCGCGUGGGUGAAGAAGGCCUUCGGGUUGUAAAGCCCUUUUGUUGGGAAAGAAAAGCAGCAGGUUAAUACCCCGCUGCUCUGACGGUACCCAAAGAAUAAGCACCGGCUAACUUCGUG